UACAGAGGUCUCAAGCGUUGUUCGGAUUCAUUGGGCGUAAAGGGUGCGUAGGCGGCGCGGUAAGUCGGGUGUGAAAUCUUGGAGCUUAACUCCGAAACUGCAUUCGAUACUGCCGUGCUUGAGGACUGGAGAGGAGACUGGAAUUUACGGUGUAGCGGUGAAAUGCGCAGAUAUCAGGAGGAACACCGGUGGCGAAGGCGGGUCUCUGGGCCGAUAUUGACGCUGAGGAGCGAAAGCGUGGGGAGCGAACAGG
rnacentral:rRNA from 1 species